GUGGGUUUUACAGAGCGCUGAGGGAUCUGCAGUGAGUUUGACAGAGCUCUGAGGGAUCUGCAGUGGGUUUGACAGAGCGCUGAGGGAUCUGCAGUGGGUUUGACAGAGCGCUGAGGGAUCUGCAGUGGGUUUGACAGAGCUCUGAGGGAUCUGCAGUGGGUUUGACAGAGCGCUGAGGGAUCUGCAGUGGGUUUGACAGAGCGCUGAGGGAUCUCCAGUGGGUUUGACGGCUCCAGAGACUCUGACAAGACUCCACUGCUCUGGAAGGGCUCCAGGAGGUCUGAGGCGGCUCUGAGAGGGCUACCACCCCCACCGAACUGACCGGUGUAUCACAGGGCCGGGAGCACUGUAAUGACAGGACAGGGCCAUUCCCUCAGCCCCAGGUGUGCAUCAUCAGCCAGAGAGGCCAGGAUUUGAAAAGUGCCAGUAUUCCAGAAUCUCACCAUGAAGGUAUCCUCCCCUCUUUGGAAUUCCCUAAAGGACCCUGCAAAGAUGCAGUGCUGGCCAUGCCAUCUGAUACACCUGAAUGCAAAAGUCAUCCCUCAUGGACUAGGCUUAAGGAAUGGAGGGGGAGGAGGGCACAGAAAUCUCUGUCAGGUUACAAAAAGCACUUGUCUGGAUUGCAGAAACCAGCUCCCAGUUCCAGUUUUACCUGAAAACAUCUGCUUUAGCCACCAGCAUCUUCAACAGGCUGUUGGUAUCAGUAAAGAUCUGUCAGCUUUUCCCUGGCUAGAUUACUGA
rnacentral:lncRNA from 1 species